UACGGAGGGGGCCAGCGUUGCUCGGAAUUAUUGGGCGUAAAGGGCGCGUAGGCGGUGCGGUAAGUCACCUGUGAAACCUCUGGGCUCAACUCAGAGCCUGCAGGCGAAACUGCCGUGCUGGAGUGUGGGAGAGGUGCGUGGAAUUCCCGGUGUAGCGGUGAAAUGCGUAGAUAUCGGGAGGAGCACCUGUGGCGAAAGCGGCGCACUGGACCACAACUGACGCUGAGGCGCGAAAGCUAGGGGAGCAAACAGG
rnacentral:rRNA from 1 species